rnacentral:rRNA from 1 species
AAAUAGAACUUUGCAGAGAGAGUUAACAGGGCGUGAAACCGUUAAUUGGCAAACGAAUCGGAGCCACGAAGUCGUUUCGCUGUUGUUUGGGGUUCAGUUUAGCUAGAGAUAGCUGGGCGUAUUCCUCGAGCAACCUUGUAAGCGUACACUGCAACCAGUUAGACGAUUGGUGAUGGGCCCAGUUGGCGGAACAUCUAGGUGUCCCGUUGACGCAGCAUCUGUCUGCCCAGGUUAGUAGUAGCGUGUGUGAGCUUCGGCUUGCUCGCGUUGCUGGACUUGUGGCGGGUGAACUAUACACCAAAGACUGACUGGCAAAAUGAAAAUCGCGUUAGCGCGUAGAGAAAGCGGCGCCUGUACUGGCGGCUACAUGCCGGACCAUGUAGUUAUAGUUCGGCAGCUUUGAAUUUGGACUUGCUCGCUACCAGUGGGGCAACCCCUGGUGCUUGUAUAGCUUCCAUCUAAUCGGCUGUUGACUUGGCUGCAUGUCGUUCUUGUAUGAAACGAUUGGUCGCCAGUACAAGGUGACUCGCCAACUUAUUGGCAGUGAGUAGGUCGGCUUUCCGAACGACCCGUCUUGAAACACGGACCAAGGAGUCUAAUUAGGCAUCAGUCGAUCGGUCUUGAUUAGGCCAGACUGUAGUUCUCACGAACUGCGAUUGAAGGCGUAGAGAAAUCAAAUCAUGUGAUGGCCCCUAAGAAGGCCCGCAACAUGUGCCUGUUGCGCCGUGUGUAGCAAUACCACAGCAGCGGAGCAAAGAGAUGCCUGAUUGGUACCCGAAAGAUGGUGAACUAUGCUUGGGCAAAUUGAAGCCAGAGGAAACUCUGGUGGAGGAUUGUAGCGAUUCUGACGUGCAAAUCGAUCGUCAGACCUGAGUAUAGGGGCGAAAGACUAAUCGAACCAUC